AGCGAACGCUGGCGGCAGGCCUAACACAUGCAAGUCGAACGAACCCUUCGGGGUUAGUGGCGGACGGGUGAGUAACACGUGGGAACGUACCCUUAGGUUCGGAAUAACUCAGGGAAACUUGAGCUAAUACCGAAUGUGCCCUUCGGGGGAAAGAUUUAUCGCCUUUGGAGCGGCCCGCGUCUGAUUAGCUAGUUGGUGAGGUAAAGGCUCACCAAGGCUACGAUCAGUAGCUGGUCUGAGAGGAUGGCCAGCCACACUGGGACUGAGACACGGCCCAGACUCCUACGGGAGGCAGCAGUGGGGAAUCUUGCGCAGUGGGCGAAAGCCUGACGCAGCCAUGCCGCGUGGAUGAUGAAGGUCUUAGGAUUGUAAAAUCCUUUCACCGGUGAAGAUAAUGACUGUAGCCGGAGAAGAAGCCCCGGCUAACUUCGUGCCAGCAGCCGCCGUAAUAC
rnacentral:rRNA from 1 species